GCUGGAAUGAAGGGUCGGAUGAGAAGGCUUCUGUCUCAUUAUUAUUUUAUUUGAAUUUUAUUUUUAAGUUAAAAAGCUUAAAUUUUAUAGAAAGACGAGAAGACCCUAUAGAGUUUAAUAUAUUUAUUAUACUGUUAAUUUCAGGUGUAAAUUUAAUUGUUUAUUAAUUUAUUUGGUUGGGGUGACAUUAGAAUUGGAAAAACUUCUUUUAUUUAAAACAUUGAUUUAUGGAUAGUUGAUCUUUAUAUUAGGAUUAUAAGAAUAAAUUACCUUAGGGAUAACAGCGUAAUUUUUUUAGAGAGCUCUUAUCGAUAAAAAGGAUUGCGACCUCGAUGUUGGAUUAAAGUUAAGCUUUGGCGUAAAGGCUGAGGGGUUU
rnacentral:rRNA from 1 species